CUCGCAAAACUAAAAUCCGUGUUUGUCACCAGUCCAUGGUUUUUAUUUAUUUUUUUAUGUCACUUCGCCGGCACCGUUAGGAACUGCUAUCAUAAGUAGGGACAAUAUGCAACUUUUCUGCAUGUCAAGCAAAGAACAUUUACUUUUAAAAUAGAGUUUCCAAAGAAUACAAUUUUUUUUUUUUUUCAUUAAAUCAAUUCAACUUUUUUCAAGACGGGCCGAUAUGCUAAUCUGAGAUGUUUCUGCCACUAACUAGAGUUACAAAUUCUACCCUAGCCAUUACAAUUCCUUCUCACUGUUAUCUUCAGAUACAAGUGUAGGUCCUUCUCCGAAGGACAUUGGUAAGACAUGCUUUCUUGUUGUGACGGAUAUCAAUUGUUAGAACAGGCCGAUAUGCUAAUCUGAGAUGUUUCUGCCACUAACUAGAGUUACAAAUUCUACCCUAGCCAUUACAAUUCCUUCUCACUUUUAUCUUCAGAUACAAGUGGAGGUCCUACUCCGAAGGACAUUGGUAAGACAUUCUUUCUUGUUGUGACGGAUAUCAAUUGUUAGAACAGGUAUAUCGUGGCAAGAGAGCAUAUAUUCAUUGAAUAUGCAUAUAUUUUUAUUUAUUUAUUGUUCUUUUACUAUAUAUAUAUAUAUAUAUAUAUAUAUAUAUAUAUAUAUAUAUAUAUAUAUAUAUAUAUAUACACGAUGCCUUUGCUGCAGGUUUUGGGGACUCUGCUGCUCCAGACUGUGGACGGUGCUGGAUGCUGCUGGUCACACUGUGCCCGUCCUCUGCUCUCCUCUCUUUGGUCCUCUACCUCCUCUAGAACUUCACGUGCCUUUAUUCACUGGAAGUCUUUCUGCACUUCAUUUGAUUGCGUUGUCUCCUUUAUUCUAACUCGGUCUCUGUUUCAGUUUGUGCCAGAAAACCCCCUGGCGUCUCUCAGGAAAACAGACCUUUAUUACCGCAACAUGAGGAUGAAAACUAUAGCCGUGUAUUUUAUGCUGUGAUGAAAACUCCACAAAAAUAAGGAUCUCACAGCUUCUUCGUUUGCAGUACGUGUGGGCUUUGAGAGGCGGAUUGGUUAGAGUUCCUUCCUCCACAACACACGCAGCCCAACGCACACACAUAGACUCACUCACAACAACAAACAAACACACAGUCGUACACACAAACACACAUGAAUUGAAAUUCCCUUGUGUUUGAAGGUAUUUUGAUGCCUUGAAAUUAGUACAACUUGGAUUGAUUUACAAUAUGUUACACAGAAAACAUUGAAAUAUGCAUUUGUAUAUUGUUUUAUACCCAAAAGUAACCUGUCUAUUAUAUGUUUUCAUUAAAUGUAUAAACAAAUCAAUAAAAUCCAAAGAUGUUGCAUGGCAG
rnacentral:lncRNA from 1 species